GGCCGAGCGCCAACCGCAGGACCGCGCCGCUGCCUCCGACGCAGUGAGCACUUCAUUAGUAACCCGAGCUCUCCAAAGUCUCUGUCCCUCUGGGAAGGCUCCCGGCUCCCGCCACUCGCCGGCGGGCUGGCAGGGACGCUACGGGCUGCACUCCCGGGUCUCCAACCCAACUCUGGCCGCAGCUCCCACCGAAGGCGAACGCGGAGGGAAGGAAGAGCUACAGGGAGAGAUGUGACCCGCCUGGGGUCCUACGAAAUAAGCUCGCCGGCCGUUCCUCCAGCCCUACCCCACCUGCGUUGCUGCUCACGCCCUCCGGACUGCCCGCGCCAGAAAUCCCGCACCCGUCGGAUGGACGGCCCCGGGCACCGGGCUGCAGGCGGCUCGGAGCGGCCCUGGCUCGCGCUCGUAGUUCCGCCUGGAGCAGCCCGAGCGAUGAGGGGGCGGGGAGCCGGCGGGGGAGGGUCGCCCGGCGCCGGAGGCGCGGCCGGCAGCGCCGCGGACGAGCUGGUUCGUGCAGAGUUAUGAGCAUCUACUGCCCUACAAUUCUUACAACAGAUGCUUGGAAAUGAAAAGAAUUGUGGUCUUUACCUUUUAGAAUGUCACUUUGGCAAGGUGCUCCUUUACAUGCAAUGGUCAGUGCAAAUCAUUGUUAGUUUGCAUGCUUUCUUAAAGCAAGCUGGUACCUUGGAAAGGCCUAUGUGCAAAAAACUGAAUGUGGCCUCUGGCCAACCACCAGCGAGGAGCUAAGGCCCUCAGUCCAGCAGUUUGUGAAGAACUGAAUCCUGCCAUCAACCAUGUGAGCCUGGAAGUGGAUUCUUCCCCAGAUGAAAGAAUUAUACCAUCUCAACUGUAGCAAGUACCGUGGCCUGUGCUUUUAGAGGUUCAAAAUUGAUGCAUGAGAGUAAAGGUGAAAAUAAGAUUUGUUAACAGAUGUUAACAGUCCUACAAAAUGUACCCUUGAAACUCCUGGUCAAAGUUUAUUUUCACUGCUAAACUGAAAACUCCAUGAGCACAGGGCCUUCUUCACUAUUGCAUAGUAACAAUCUUGCUCAAGCAUCUGAAGAAAGAGUAUUUUGGAGAAGUGCAGCAUUUCGAAGGGCAUUCUCAGGGAUAGGAUCUGGU